GUGCGAUUGUGUGGGACGGUCUGGGGCAGCCCAGCAGCGGCUGACCCUCUGCCUGCCGGGAAGGGAGUCGCGAGGCGGCCGUCAUGGCGGUGUCGGAGAGCCAGCUCAAGAAAAUGGUGUCGAAGUUUUUAAUGAUGGCAGUUCCAGGGAACUAAUGAACCUCACUGGAACAAUCCCUGUGCCUUAUAGAGGUAAUACAUAUAAUAUUCCAAUAUGCUUAUGGCUACUGGACACAUACCCAUAUAAUCCCCCUAUCUGUUUUGUUAAGCCUACUAGUUCAAUGACUAUUAAAACAGGAAAGCAUGUUGAUGCAAAUGGGAAGAUAUAUCUUCCUUAUCUACAUGAAUGGAAACACCCACAGUCAGACUUGUUGGGGCUUAUUCAGGUCAUGAUUGUGGUAUUUGGAGAUGAACCUCCAGUCUUCUCUCGUCCUGUUUCGGCAUCCUAUCCGCCAUACCAGGCAACGGGGCCACCAAAUACUUCCUACAUGCCAGGCAUGCCAGGUGGAAUCUCUCCAUACCCAUCCGGAUACCCUCCCAAUCCCAGUGGUUACCCAGGCUGUCCUUACCCACCUGGUGGUC
rnacentral:sRNA from 1 species